GACGAACGCUGGCGGCGUGCUUAACACAUGCAAGUCGAACGGUAAGGCCCUUCGGGGUACACGAGUGGCGAACGGGUGAGUAACACGUGGGUGAUCUGCCCUGCACUUCGGGAUAAGCCUGGGAAACUGGGUCCAAUACCGGAUAGGACUCCUGGCUUCAUGGUUGGGAGUGGAAAGCUUUUGCGGUGUGGGAUGGGCCCGCGGCCUAUCAGCUUGUUGGUGGGGUAAUGGCCUACCAAGGCGACGACGGGUAGCCGGCCUGAGAGGGUGACCGGUCACACUGGGACUGAGAUACGGCCCAGACUCCUACGGGAGGCAGCAGUGGGGAAUAUUGCACAAUGGGCGCAAGCCUGAUGCAGCGACGCCGCGUGAGGGAUGACGGCCUUCGGGUUGUAAACCUCUUUCAGCUAUGACGAAGCGUAAGUGACGGUAGUAGCAGAAGAAGGACCGGCCAACUACGUGCCAGCCGCCGCUGUAA
rnacentral:rRNA from 1 species